ACCGCUCAGUAACACGUGGACAACCUACCCAAAGGUCUGGGAUAACUCCGGGAAACUGGGGAUAAUACCGGAUAGGUCAAGAGUACUGGAAGGGUUUUUUGAUUGAAAGCUCUGGCGCCUUUGGAUGGGUCUGCGGCUGAUUAGGUUGACGCCGGUGUAAAGUACCGGCGUGCCGAUUAUCAGUACGGGUUGUGGGAGCAAGAGCCCGGAGAUGGAUUCUGAGACACGAAUUCAGGCCCUACGGGGCGCAGCAGGCGCGAAAACUCUACAAUGCAGGCAACUGCGAUAGGGGAACAUCGAGUGGCAUCUACAUUAGGUGUCUGUCCAGCUGUCUAAAAAACGGCUGUUAGCAAGGGCCGGGCAAGACCGGUGCCGGCCGCCGCGGUAAUACCGGCGGCUCGAGUGGUGGCCGAUAUUAUUGAGUCUAAAGGGUCCGUAGCCGGCUUUGCAAGUCUUGUGGGAAAUCCAGCGGCUUAACCGUUGGGCGUCUGCGGGAUACUACAUUGCUUGGGACUGGGAGAGGUAGGAGGUACUCAGGGGGUAGGAGUGAAAUCCUGUAAUCCUCUGGGGACCACCGGUGGCGAAGGCGUCCUACCAGAACAGGUCCGACGGUGAGGGACGAAAGCUAGGGGCACGAACCGGAUUAGAUACCCGGGUAGUCCUAGCCGUAAACGAUGCCCGCUAGGUGUCACGGCAGUCGUGAACUGCCGUGGUGCCGUAGGGAAGCCGUGAAGCGGGCCACUUGGGAAGUACGACCGCAAGGUUGAAACUUAAAGGAAUUGGCGGGGGAGCAC
rnacentral:rRNA from 1 species